rnacentral:rRNA from 1 species
GAUGAACGCUGGCGGCGUGCCUAAUACAUGCAAGUCGAGCGAACAGACGAGGAGCUUGCUCCUCUGACGUUAGCGGCGGACGGGUGAGUAACACGUGGAUAACCUACUUAUAAGACUGGGAUAACUUCGGGAAACCGGAGCUAAUACCGGAUAAUAUAUUGAACCGCAUGGUUCAAUAGUGAAAGACGGCUUUGCUGUCACUUAUAGAUGGAUCCGCGCCGCAUUAGCUAGUUGGUAAGGUAACGGCUUACCAGGGCAACGAUGCGUAGCCGACCUGAGAGCGUGAUAGGCGACACAGGAGGUGAGACACGAUCCAGGGUCCUACGGGAGGCAGAAAUAGCGAAUGGUCCGCGAGGGGCGAAAGCCUGACCGAGCAACGCCGCGUGAGUGAUGAAGGUCUGCGAAGCGGAAAACUCUGUUAUUGGUGAAGAACAAAUGUGUAAGUAACGAUGCGCGUCUUGACGGUACCUGUUCAGAAAGCCACGGCUAACUACGU